UCAAACUUCAGCUACCAGUACUCUAAAAAUGGAACAACAUGGUGAAGAUCAGCAUGGCCUCUGCACAAAUAUAACAUGAAAAUUCUUGAGGCAUUCAUAUUUUUC
ensembl:snRNA U6 U6 spliceosomal RNA